rnacentral:hammerhead_ribozyme from 1 species
AUUUCACUGAAGAAUCUCAAAUAGGACGAAACCAGAGUCCGAGAU